GUACUAGCUUCUGCAGCACAUAUACUAAAAUUGGAAUGAUACAGAGAAGAUUAGCAUGGUCCCUGCACAAGGAUGACACGCAAAAUUGUGAAACAUUCCAUAUUUUU
ensembl:snRNA U6 U6 spliceosomal RNA